UCUUCAUUCUCCCCUCAUUUUCUUUUUCCUUUCAUUCUCAAACUUCCACUCACCCACAACCCACACGAAACCCUUCCAACCCGGCUCUUCAUUCUCAGACUUUCACUCUUUCCGUCGUCGACUCUCUAUCUCUUGCGUCCUUUCGUCCUUUCUAUCUCCGUCGUCGACUCCUUCCAACGCGAAACCCUGAGGUCUCUGUCGUCGACUCUCUAUCUCCGGUGUCCUCUCGUCCUCUUUUACCUCUGUCGUCCUCUCUAUCUCCGACGAGCUUCUAUCCCCAGGUCUUCUCUUUCAAGCCAUCACCGAUUUGUCAAGUUCGGCAACUUGCGAACUAGCGGCGUUCAUCCAUCUGGUUUGAGAUUCGUAAAACCUUGUUCUACGUUUGUUAUUUUACAUUUAUUUCCCUCAACGAUUGAAAUGGUGGUUUUGGUUUGAUUCGUUUUGAGAUUCUCAAAACCCACUACGAUUUGAGUAUUUGACUGGCUUCAUAGAUUUUUCCCUCCCUGCCCUUUUGUUUUCUCCGAUUGAUCGGCUCGUUCGUUAUCCAUUUUUGAGUAUGGGAUUGGAAUUUCUCUAUCUGUGAAAUCUGACCUUAAACUUGGAACUCAUUUGAUGAUCUUAUUUUGUCUUCUUGCUUUCAUUUUGCAUAAUCUGUUAGAGUAUUGAUAUAUUAUCCAAUUUUCCUUCAAUUAUUAAGCUUUUGAGUGGUGAUUUGAACGAAGCAGUUAUGCAUUUUGGCGAGAGAGUAUCAAGGAAAUUAUUAAUGAGGAGUUCAGCGAUGGAAUCUAUUGGCUUAGAUGGUAUGCAACUACAGUAUAAGGAAUGUGAUUGCUCAGACUAGACAUAUAGGAAUAAUCAGUAGAAGGGUCCAAAUCAACAAUAACUUGAGGAGUUUUCCUUCUAAUCUUGGAUUUGUUCACACUUGGAAGCGUGAAUAUAGAAUAAGUCUCAUGAUGUUGGUAGAUACGAGUGCAUCAGAAAAUCGUGGACCGAUUGUUGAUAAGAUGAAGAUGGUGGUUAUACCAGUGGAGGAUGGAAAAGUGAGAUGGGAAACUUAGUUGGGGGUAUUCGAGUUUCAGAGGAAAGAGGGCAACCAUGGAAGAUUUCUUUGAUAUUAAAAUGUCAAAGGUCGAUGGUCAAACCUUCUGCCUUUUUGGCAUCUUUAAUGGUCACGGUGGAUCCCGAGCUGCAGAGUUUUUGAAGGAACAUCUCUUUGAGAAUCUGAUGAAGCACACAAAAUUCUUGAUGGAUACGGAAUUAGCUAUCAGUGUGUUUCAUUUCCCUAGGAAAGAUGAUCAGGCGCAAUUCUCAAGUAGCUACCAAAUCUCAUAUGUUUGAAGCUGGACAAUAAUCCACUUAAACAGUUUCAGUUUCUCAUUGGGUAGUCGAUCGUACAAGUCUAUUGUGGAUCCAGCCUCCGUUUGUCGAUCCAGUCUCCGUUCGUCGUCGAUCCGACCUCCGUGUCAUCGCUCGUCGACCAAAUCCACUUCUCCAUCGGACAUUUUCUACUCUACAGGAAGGUUAAGGAUGCACUUAUCGUGUGGAGGAACUUAAAGAGUUAGUUCAUGAGCUUGAUGCCUUCAUUUUGAUUAAAUUUGACAAAAAAACCUCUUUUGCGACGUUAACCAAGUUACCUAUAUUUAUUCAAAUCAUGAAAAUUGAGAGAGAGGUGGUGCUCCAGUUUUAUGCAUUGAUGAUGCCUCAAGACAUUGUUUUGAGUUUUCAAAAGGCCAGCUUGAUUGGAGCCUUAUUCUUUUAUUAGUUCCAUUGGUUCUUGGACUUGAAAAAAAUCAAUCCAAGGUAUGUUAUAAUUUUUUGCUAGCCUUGUAUAUUUUAAUACUUUGGGCUUCGAAUCUCAUUUUAAUAACAAUGAAAUAGGAUUCUAGUUCAAGAUUUAGUACUUUGAGAGGCUAAUUUUAAUAACAAUGAAAUAGGAUUUUAGUUCAAGAUUUAGUACUUUGAGAGGCUAUAGAUUUCCCUAAUAAUUGGUUUUGCAUCUUCAUGCUUUAGCAGUUUUAUUGAAAAUUAUAAGUGUUGGUAAGAAGUACUCAAGUUUGACCCUCUAGGUUUGGAAAUGGUUGUUGUAUCGAGCUCUUUUAAGUCUAGUAUUGUAUAUCCAUUGUCUGUAAAUUGGCUGAGGAAAUUCUUGCAGCUAUUGAUCACCACCUCUCUCUCCUUGUUCUGCAAUUUGUUUGAAUCUAAUUACAAGUUUUAGUUUGUAUUUUAUAGUUUAAAAGCAAGUUCUCGCUCUUGUUUGGAUCAAAAUUUUAAUUUUGCUAUGUAACGCUUAUGAGUUUUUGUAAUUUGUUGAUUACUUUGGUUUUAGAAUUAAAUUAUCAUCUUCAAUUCCUCCUUUUUAACUUAUUAUUAUGGAUUUGUGAAAGUAAUUAAGAAUUUAUUUUGUGCAUGUAUAGGUUGAUUGCCUUGGUUUUAGGGACAUAUCGUUUUUAACUUUGUGACCAACAUUAAAAAUGGAUUGGACAAUAAUUAUAUCGAAUACACGGAUAAUAAUUGAAAAAAAUGAAAAUGAUAUUUACAAAAAAUGGACAAUAAUUGAAAAGAAUGGACAAUAAUUAUGGGCUUUAAUAUCGGUUUAAAAUCGACAUUAAAGGGCUUUAAUGUUGGUUGUUAGUGUUAUUAAAGCUCUUUCCUGUUGGUUGUCUUUAAUGUCGGUUUUAAACCGACAUUGUACACCCUGUUCAAUGUUGGUUUAAAAUCGACAUUAAAGGGCUUUAAUAACACUAUCUUUAAUGUCGGAGUCCUUUAAUGUCGGUUUUAAAUUGAAAUUAAAACCCAAAAUUCUUAUAGUGGCUUUAGUUGGGCUCGAGUAGAUGGGGACCUCUCCCUUUCCGUUUUGAAAAUAUGUGGAUGGAACAUUGUACUUUUUGCCACUGCAUAAAAAAUGGUGGAAAGAUGGGCCAUUGACUGAAUGGUUGGUCAUGGUAUUAUGCAAAAAAACAAGGCAUUUAAAAGGAUUGUGAAGGAAUAGAAUAAGUCCACUUUUGGUUGCUUGACAAUGUUAAAGAGCCAGCUUAUGUUUUGACCUAGCAGGCUAGGAUUCCAUUGAGGAAUAAUGCCCUCUCCAACCUACAAAUAUUGAUAAAAGGUUACUUAGAGAACAAAUCCUUGACAUCAACACAUGAGAAGAAUUACUUUGGCGUCAGAAAUGUAAAAGCCGAUGGCUGAUAGAGAGGGACAUCAAUUCCUCAUUUUAUCAUCGCCUUGUGAGUGCUAAAAGACGUAAGAACGCCAUCAUUGAAAUCCUACCCAGAGAAGGACACAAACCUUCUUACAGAGAGGGAGAUUGUUUCUGAAUUUGUCUCCUUUUAUGAAGCUCGCUAUAUAAAAGAUGAUGGACAACAACACCUUCCUAAUAUGAUCCUCUGUCAUCCUUUCCUUUUAUUAUCAUCAUGGGUUGUUUGAGUAGAUCGAUGAUGGAAGCUAGUGAUGGUGGUCUGAUCAAAGGCCUUUACAUAGGCCAAAGCUCUCUGCAGUCGAGUAUUGAAAAGGUGGAUAGUAGGUUUCAUGCCUAGAACCACAAACAUAUCUCCAAAGGUGGUUGCCUUACUCUCCUCCAAGCUACCCUAUCAAAUCUCCCCACGUAUUAUAUGUCCCUUUACAAAAUGCAUGUCACAGUAGCAAACAACAUUGAGAAACAUUAUCAGAAUUUUCUCUGGAAAGGUGGCACUACACAACAGAGGUUUCAUUUUUGUCAGAUAGGACAAACUGACCAAGCCUCAAGCAUAGGGUUGCAUUGGAUUAUAGAAUCUGGUGGAUAAAAAUAGAGAUCUUCUUGCCAAGUGGAUUUGGCGAUAUUACCAUGAGGAUGACGUAUUUUGGAGACAGGUCAUAGGUGUCAAAUAUGGGGUGACUUAUUAUCUAUCUUGGCCUAACAUUAACCACCCGGGAUACAUUAAAGGGCCUUGGCGUACUAUAUUGUUGCAUAUAAACCUCAUUAAAGAUUGAGUAUCUAUCAAAGUUGGCUAUGAGAUUAAUAUACAUUUUUGCUGUGAUAAUUGGCUCAAGAAUCCAUCCCUCAAGGAUGCAUACCCACGACUUUACUCUCUUAUCCAAACAAAAAAAACUUCCAUACAUGAUCAAUGGGACAUGAGACACGGGUGGAUAUUAUAUUUUAUGAGGAAUCUCAGGAAUGAUGAGUUUGAUGAUUUGAUUGACUUUGUGGAUUGCCUUAAUGGUUUCCAUAUCUCUAUAUCAAAGGACACAUGGAUGUGGUAACUUGACACCAAAAGCACCUUCUCCACAAAAUCCCUCUCCACAAACUUGGGAUCAAAUCUGACCACUAAUGCCCACCCUUUCCAUGGUGUGAUUUGGGAUGACUUUUACCCCCAAAAGGUCAAUUUUUUCCUUUGGAAAAUUAGCCAUAACCAUCAAUACGUGUGACAAAAUCCAAAGAAAAUCUCCACAUAAGGCAUUCUCUCCACAUUGUUGCAUCAUUGCAAAUCAGAUUAUGAGUAACCUAGCCACCUUUUUUUUAUCAACUAUCGAUAUGUCGACAGAUUUUGGAUGGAGAUAUUAUCCUCGCAUACCGAUCUCCCCGAUAACAUCAUCAGUCUCCUCUCAUAUGUUCUCAAUGGCCAUCCAUUCAUUUAAAAGAAAAGAAUCAUGUGGAUGCCCUUGAUUCGUGCCUUUUAUGGAUUACAUGGAAUGAGAGGAACAGUCGCAUAUCCAACAACAAGGGAAGCUCCUUUGUUAAAAAAAAAAAAUUUAAAUCAUUGUAUAUCAUGCUAUGAUUUGGUGCAAAUGCACAUUUUUCUGCAAACUAUACAACCUAUCUUCAUUAUUAACCAAUUGGAGGAAUCUUUGGAACCUUUGUUUGGCUUGACUUCAACCCUUUUUGUAAAUUUUAUAUAUCAAUGAAAUUUGUUUCUUAACAAAAAGAAAAAGAAAAAGAAAAAGUGUGAAGUAUUUUUAUACCUUUUGGAGAAUUAAAGGAGAGACUAGCCCUCUUGAAAGGCUAGUGGUUACCUUGUUAUAUUUAUGUGAUAUUAUAACAUAUUUCAAUAUAUUUUUAUAUAUUUUCAUA